rnacentral:rRNA from 1 species
UACGAAGGGGGCUAGCGUUGUUCGGAAUCACUGGGCGUAAAGGGCGCGUAGGCGGCUUUAUAAGUUGGGGGUGAAAGCCUGUGGCUCAACCACAGAAUUGCCUUCGAUACUGUAGAGCUUGAGACCGGAAGAGGUAAGUGGAACUGCGAGUGUAGAGGUGAAAUUCGUAGAUAUUCGCAAGAACACCAGUGGCGAAGGCGGCUUACUGGUCCGGUUCUGACGCUGAGGCGCGAAAGCGUGGGGAGCAAACAGG